GUGGGCUGUUUGCUGACUGCCUCUGUAAAUAGGCUAGUAGCAUUAGCGUCGAUGAGUAGUUUGAUGCAAUGUUUGAAAUAAGUUAUGUACAGCUGAAGAAUUACUACCUGUACGGUAUACUGACGGUGCAAAGUGUUGAUGUCGGAGAAAAUCCUGAGCAGUGACGCACGCCUUGCUUUUUUGUUGGAAAGGUUUUAAUCAUCAGGACGACUCCUCGUAAACAACAUCUCUAAAAAUGAACACAGGAGAGAACACUGUUCAGAUGAGUUGCUGUGAAACUUGGGUACAUGCUUAAAGAGAGAUGACAGACAGAACAUAGUGAUGCCAGAGAAGAGAAGUGGUCCAAGAACUGAGCCCUGGGGCACACCAGUAGUUAGAUGUUGUGACUUGGACACCUCACCUCUCCAAGAUACCUUGAAGGACCUAUCUGAAAGCUUGAUAUGGAGCACGGUGGGGAUAAACGAUCUGUGUCAGCCCUGCUGGGGUCCAUAUGGUCUAUCACAAGGUUCUCACUCUACAUCACAUCCGUGAGCUAUAGAUGAACACAGGCUGUCUGUUUACCAGUCAUCCUUCAGAAAAACUUAUGAGGGCCAGCGGAACAGAAAGUGAGACACAGUUGUCUUGGGUUUUGGACUUGGCCUCCCUCCAGCUGUGUGUCCUUCCCCUGCCAUCCUUACUGAAGCUCCGGCUGCACUGGCAGGCUGGGGAAUGCUUUGAAUGUUAAUGAAAUAUGUCAUCGUGAGUUGUCUCAGUAAUUAAUUGUUCACAUCACAUAUUUGAAAGGCCACCAGGAAGCAGUCCCAGUGGCACUGUGGCACGUUGCCUGUCUCAGAA
ensembl:lncRNA